rnacentral:rRNA from 1 species
CCCAGACUCCUACGGGAGGCAGCAGUGGGGAAUAUUGCACAAUGGGGGGAACCCUGAUGCAGCGACGCCGCGUGAGUGAAGAAGUAUCUCGGUACGUAAAGCUCUAUCAGCAGGGAAGAAAAUGACGGUACCUGACUAAGAAGCCCCGGCUAACUACGUGCCAGCAGCCGCGGUAAUACGUAGGGGGCAAGCGUUAUCCGGAUUUACUGGGUGUAAAGGGAGCGUAGACGGCAGCACAAGUCUGGAGUGAAAUCCCGGGGCUUAACCCCGGAACUGCUUUGGAAACUGUGCGGCUGGAGUGCAGGAGGGGUAAGCGGAAUUCCUAGUGUAGCGGUGAAAUGCGUAGAUAUUAGGAGGAACACCGGUGGCGAAGGCGGCUUACUGGACUGUAACUGACGUUGAGGCUCGAAAGCGUGGGGAGCAAACAGGAUUAGAUACCCCCGUAUU